rnacentral:rRNA from 1 species
GUGGGGAAUAUUGGGCAAUGGACGCAAGUCUGACCCAGCAACGCCGCGUGAAGGAAGAAGGCUUUCGGGUUGUAAACUUCUUUUAAGGGGGAAGAGCAGAAGACGGUACCCCUUGAAUAAGCCACGGCUAACUACGUGCCAGCAGCCGCGGUAAUACGUAGGUGGCAAGCGUUGUCCGGAUUUACUGGGUGUAAAGGGCGUGCAGCCGGGCCGACAAGUCAGAUGUGAAAUCCGCGGGCUUAACCCGCGAACUGCAUUUGAAACUAUUGGUCUUGAGUACCGGAGAGGUCAUCGGAAUUCCUUGUGUAGCGGUGAAAUGCGUAGAUAUAAGGAAGAACACCAGUGGCGAAGGCGGAUGACUGGACGGCAACUGACGGUGAGGCGCGAAAGCGUGGGGAGCAAACAGG